GGAUUAUUGGGCGUAAGAGCUCGUAGGCGGUUUGUCGCGUCUGCUGUGAAAGCCCGGGGCUUAACCCCGGGUGUGCAGUGGGUACGGGCAGACUUGAGUGCAGUAGGGGAGACUGGAAUUCCUGGUGUAGCGGUGAAAUGCGCAGAUAUCAGGAGGAACACCGAUGGCGAAGGCAGGUCUCUGGGCUGUUACUGACGCUGAGGAGCGAAAGCAUGGGGAGCGAACAGGAUUAGAUACCCUGGUAGUCCAUGCCGUAAACGUUGGGCACUAGGUGUGGGGAACAUUCCACGUUUUCCGCGCCGUAGCUAACGCAUUAAGUGCCCCGCCUGGGGAGUACGGCCGCAAGGCUAAAACUCAAAGGAAUUGACGGGGGCCCGCACAAGCGGCGGAGCAUGCGGAUUAAUUCGAUGCAACGCGAAGAACCUUACCAAGGCUUGACAUACACCGGACCGGGCCAGAGAUGGUCUUUCCCCCUUGUGGGGCUGGUGUACAGGUGGUGCAUGGUUGUCGUCAGCUCGUGUCGUGAGAUGUUGGGUUAAGUCCCGCAACGAGCGCAACCCUCGUUCUAUGUUGCCAGCACGUGAUGGUGGGGACUCAUAGGAGACUGCCGGGGUCAACUCGGAGGAAGGUGGGGAUGACGUCAAAUCAUCAUGCCCCUUAUGUCUUGGGCUUCACGCAUGCUACAAUGGCCAGUACAAUGGGUUGCGAUGCCGCGAGGUGGAGCUAAUCCCAAAAAGCUGGUCUCAGUUCGGAUCGUGGUCUGCAACUCGACCACGUGAAGUCGGAGUCGCUAGUAAUCGCAGAUCAGCAACGCUGCGGUGAAUACGUUCCCGGGCCUUGUACACACCGCCCGUCAAGUCACGAAAGUUGGUAACACCCGAAGCCGGUGGCCUAACCCUUGUGGGGGGAACCUUCAAAAGUGGGACUGGCGAUGGGAUAGUCU
rnacentral:rRNA from 1 species